GUGCAGUUGUUUCAGACUUGUUGCAAGGUGUUAGACUCACACAAAUAUUAUUAUAUUUAGUUCACCUGAUAUUUUAGCCAGAGAGAAGGGAGAUGACAGACAACCAGAUGUGCUCAGUGGAAAAUCAUUCGAUGGCAAGAGAUACUGGACAUUCUGUUCUCAGGUCUACAAGCUUGACACUCACCACAUCACCUCUCAGUAACUACAUUUCCAAAGUAGUAGUGGAAGGACACUUAAUAAAUGGAGAUGGAAAGACGAACAUUGACAUGCUUGGUCGCUUUCCGAGUAUUUAAUGCUGAGUGAUGACAGUUGCUAGGUAACCUUGAAAUGUGGCCAUAAAAUUGCUCUGGC